CAGACACAAUAGAUUUUCAAUUGUUAUGCGGCAGCCAGCUGCCGUUUGGAGAAUGAUGGGUUAAGUAGUGUCUAUGAACUAAA